GAUGAACGCUGGCGGCGUGCUUAACACAUGCAAGUCGAACGAACCUUCGGGUUAGUGGCGGACGGGUGAGUAACGCGUGGGAAUCUGCCCUCAGGAGGGGGAUAACGGUUGGAAACGGCCGCUAAUACCCCAUAUGCCGAGAGGUGAAAUGAAUUUCGCCUGAGGAUGAGCCCGCGUCUGAUUAGCUAGUUGGUGAGGUAAGAGCUCACCAAGGCAUCGAUCAGUAGCUGGUCUGAGAGGAUGAUCAGCCACACUGGGACUGAGACACGGCCCAGACUCCUACGGGAGGCAGCAGUGGGGAAUUUUCCGCAAUGGGCGAAAGCCUGACGGAGCAACGCCGCGUGAGGGAUGAAGGCCUCUGGGCUGUAAACCUCUUUUAUCAAGGAAGAAGAUCUGACGGUACUUGAUGAAUAAGCCACGGCUAAUUCCGUGCCAGCAGCCGCGGUAAUACGGGAGUGGCAAGCGUUAUCCGGAAUUAUUGGGCGUAAAGCGUCCGCAGGCGGCCCAACAAGUCUGCUGUUAAAAAGUGGAGCUUAACUCCAUCAUGGCAGUGGAAACUGUUGGGCUCGAGUGUGGUAGGGGCAGAGGGAAUUCCCGGUGUAGCGGUGAAAUGCGUAGAUAUCGGGAAGAACACCAGUGGCGAAGGCGCUCUGCUGGGCCAUCACUGACGCUCAUGGACGAAAGCCAGGGGAGCGAAAGGGAUUAGAUACCCCUGUAGUCCUGGCCGUAAACGAUGAACACUAGGUGUCGGGGGGAAUCGACCCCUCCGGUGUCGUAGCCAACGCGUUAAGUGUUCCGCCUGGGGGAGUACGCACGCAAGUGUGAAACUCAAAGGAAUUGACGGGGGCCCGCACAAGCGGUGGAAUAUGUGGGUUUAAUUCGAUGCAACGCGAAGAACCUUACCAGGGUUUGACAUCCUGCGAAUCUCUUGGAAACUUGAGAGUGCCUUCGGGAGCGCAGUGACAGGUGGUGCAUGGCUGUCGUCAGCUCGUGU
rnacentral:rRNA from 1 species